rnacentral:rRNA from 1 species
UGGGGAAUCUUGCGCAAUGGGCGAAAGCCUGACGCAGCGACGCCGCGUGAGUGAUGAAGGCCUUCGGGUUGUAAAGCUCUGUGGAGGGGGACGAAUAAGGGCCGGCGAAUACCCGGCCCGAUGACGGUACCCCUUUAGCAAGCACCGGCUAACUCUGUGCCAGCAGCCGCGGUAAGACAGAGGGUGCAAACGUUGUUCGGAAUUACUGGGCGUAAAGCGCGUGUAGGCUGCUCGGAAAGUCGGGUGUGAAAGCCCUGGGCUCAACCCAGGAAGUGCACUCGAAACUCCCGAGCUGGAGUUCUGGAGAGGAAGGCGGAAUUCUCGGUGUAGAGGUGAAAUUCGUAGAUAUCGAGAGGAACAUCGGUGGCGAAGGCGGCCUUCUGGACAGAAACUGACGCUGAGACGCGAAAGCGUGGGGAGCAAACAGG